rnacentral:tRNA from 1 species
GAGGGUAUAGCUCAGUGGUAGAGCACAUGCUUAGCAUGCGUGAGGUCCUGGGUUCAGUCCUCAGUAUUUCCA